UACGUAGGUGGCAAGCGUUGUCCGGAUUUAUUGGGCGUAAAGCGAGCGCAGGCGGAAAGAUAAGUCUGAUGUGAAAGCCCCCGGCUUAACCGAGGAAUUGCAUCGGAAACUGUGUUUCUUGAGUGCAGAAGAGGAGAGUGGAACUCCAUGUGUAGCGGUGGAAUGCGUAGAUAUAUGGAAGAACACCAGUGGCGAAGGCGGCCGCCUGGCCUGUUACUGACGCUGAGGCACGAAAGCGUGGGGAGCAAAUAGG
rnacentral:rRNA from 1 species